rnacentral:tRNA from 1 species
GGACUGUGGCUCAGUGGCAGAGCGCUUGCCUAGCAUGUGUGAGGCACUGGGUUUGAUUCUCAGCACCG